rnacentral:misc_RNA from 1 species
UACGUAGGGGGCGAGCGUUGUCCGGAAUCACUGGGCGUAAAGGGUGCGUAGGCGGCCUGGCAAGUCUCGUGUGAAAGGCUCCGGCUUAACCGGAGAGGGCCACGGGAAACUGGUGGGCUUGAGGGCCGGAGAGGAUGGCGGAAUUCCCGGUGUAGCGGUGAAAUGCGUAGAUAUCGGGAGGAACCCCAGUGGCGAAGGCGGCCAUCUGGACGGACCCUGACGCUGAGGCACGAAAGCUGGGGGAGCAAACAGG